rnacentral:rRNA from 1 species
UGAGGAAUAUUGGUCAAUGGGCGAGAGCCUGAACCAGCCAAGUAGCGUGAAGGAUGACUGCCCUAUGGGUUGUAAACUUCUUUUAUAAAGGAAUAAAGUCGGGUAUGCAUACCCGUUGCAUGUACUUUAUGAAUAAGGAUCGGCUAACUCCGUGCC